AGUGAGAUAGCUGGGUCAAAUGGUGGUUCCAUACCAAGUUUUCUGAGGAAUCCCCAUACUGCUUUCCACAGUGGUUGAACCAAUUUGCAGUCCCACCAGCAAU
rnacentral:pre_miRNA from 1 species